UUUAUAAAAAAUAUACAAAUAAACAAAUUUUCCAUAUGUUUUUGAAAAGGUUUUUUAGUGGAAUGUUAAUGUAGCUUUUAUAAAUUAUGGUAAAAGAAAAAAACCAUAUCUCAUAUGUUUUCCUUUUUACAACAUGUUUAAUUUAUAUAACUUUUUACGUUUUAUUUAUUUUUUAUUUUUACUUUUAUUUUUACUUUUUUUUAGUUGCGCUUAAAUAAUGCAAGACUUUUUUUUAAAAGCAAAAUUCGCUUGAGUAGUGGGAAACAACACCCCAAAUGGACAGUAAAGAAUAAAGAGAAAUAUAAUGUAUAUACGUAUGACAAUUCCUACUAUGGAGAAAACUUUAAAUAUAAUAAUUUCAUAUUACAUAUAAGAUCAUAUAAAUAUUAUAUUGAUUAUAUAGUAGAAAAUAUACACAGAACUAUAAAAAAUUGUGGGAAAUGUGUUUAUAAUCCUAUAAAAACAUUUAUUUUAAAACACAAUCCAGAUGUUCGUUAUCAAUUAGUAGCACUCAUGGCUUUUUUAGGAACCACUUCAGUUAUAACUUGUUAUCAUAACAAGAUUUACCAAAAUAUUAUUGAUGUUACAAAUAUGCUAGAAUUAGGGUUAGUAGAUGAUAUGAAAGAUAAUAAUUUUUUUGAUACACAAAGUGAGUUACAAAACAAAAACAUCGAAGAUUAUAGUCAAGACCACGAAAGACUUACACAGUUAUGGGAAAAGGCAUUGAAAGAAGCAACAGAAAAAAAAAGUUUCGACGAACUGUGCAAUUUUCUAGUUAUAAAAGAUGAUGAACCUAUUGUUAAUUUUAAACCGAAACAUACAUGGAGAUACAACAUGAUACCUUAUGGAGCAAAUAAUCCUGACACGCAAACGUUUCCAAUUCCUUCAUAUGAACAACCAUUCAGAUCAUUUGCUUUAAAUUUCACUUAUAAUAAUUUAUCAGGUAAUUGGGGAGAUUAUAUUGAUAGGAAAGAUAAUAAAGGAUCAUUAUUAAGACCAUCAAGAUAUAUGUUUACUGAUGUGAUCAUACCCGCUACAAAAUAAAAAUACACACCAACUAUGACAUCUUAGUUAUGCGCAAAUCUUUACAUUUACACAUAUACAUUUACAAUAUAUAUAUAUAUAUAUAUAAUACAACGUGUAAGUGUACAAGUAGUACUUUUAUUUGUUUACUUUAUUAAUCCCUUUUUUUUUUUUUUUAAUUAAAAGAAAGGCUUCAUACUAACUUUUUUUUGUUUUUCUAUUUUUUUUUUUUUUUUUUUAUUUAAUAAAAAUUAAAAAGUUAAAAUUAAAAGAACUUUA
rnacentral:lncRNA from 1 species